rnacentral:lncRNA from 10 species
CACAGAUCAUGGAGGACUGUUUUAUCUGUUUGUGAUCUGCCGUCCUCUGUGAGCCUCAGGAUGGAUGUUUGCCAGCCGAUUCCAUGGUUACAAGCUCUAUAGCUGCAUCUAUGUGUUAGGAGCAUGAAGACCAAUAAUGGAUGCACUGAGCUGAUUAUGAAUUUAGCCCUGAUGAAGACUUGUGUUGCUGUCAUGAUAUGAAAGAUUCCAGUAAUGAACGCACUUGAGUUGAUUCAAGCACGCUUCCAUGGUCAUGAGCUCUGUGGUUGCAUCUGUGUGUUAGGAGCAUGCAGACCAAUAGUGAUAAUCUCGAGGUGAUUUAUGCAUUCUUCCAUGGCCACCAGCCUUAUGAUUGCAUCUGUGCGUCACAGCUUAGAGAUCAAUAAUGGAUGCAACAAGCUCUUUGAAUCAUUCUGUUGGGAUCAAGAUUGUUGUGUUCCCUCUGUUUGGAAAGAGACCAAGAAUGGAUACGCUCAGGUGAUUUAAGCAGUCUUCCAUGGCCACGAGCUCUGUGGUUGCCUCUGUAUAUUAAGAGCACAGAGAUUAAAAAUGGGUGCACUUGAGCCGAUUGAAACAUUCCUCCUUGCAUCUUUCUUCUGUGAUUGCAUCUAUUUGUUAGUAGCAUAGAGACCAAUAAUAGAUGGCUUGUGCUGAUGGAAGGAUUCCUCCCUGGUGACAUGCUGUGUCUGCCUCUUGAUUGGGAGCACGCAGACCUACAAUGAUGCACUUUUUAUGAUUUGAGAAUUCCUUCAUGGUCACGUGCUCUGUUUUUAUCAUGGUUGGGAGCCUGCAGAGCAAUAAGGGACAUGCCUUUGCUGAUUUGAGGAUUCCUCUGAGGUUGGGAGCUAAGUUUGCAUCAUGCUUAGAAAGGAGUGUGCAGACCUGUAAUGAUUGCACUUUGCUGAUUGAAGGAUUCCUUCAAGUCCAUGUGCUCCACUUGCACCAUUUUUAGGAUGGAGCCUGGAGACCUAUAAUGAACAACUUGUGCUGUGUUAAGGAUUCCUCCAUGAUCACGCGCCCCAUUUGUACACCAUGCUUGGGAAGGUGCAUGCAGACCAAUGUUAGUAAUAGUCAAAAUUCCUGUGUCGGUUUGUGUGGUUUGCUAAACAGGACUCAAUGUAUCAUGAAACAGUGUAUUAUAUAGUCAACUAUGGUCAACUAUGUCCCAGUGAUAUUUAUGAGAGGGAUCUGAAGUAUUUAUUGAUAAUGCAUAUAUGAAAAACGGAGAAGAAUUAAUGAAACAGAUAUAUCUGUGUUAGAAUGAUUCUGUAUAAAGAUAGGGAAUAUCAAGUCUGUUCUUAGUGUUUUGUGAAUCACAGAGUGUAAAAUUAUUCCCAGUGAAUUAAUGAAUAAAUUUAAAGACAACAUAGAAAUGAAUGCAGAAAAAGAGGGUCAACCCUGGAUCGAUGAUGAGCACUGGUGGAGUAUGAGUCACAUACGAUGAAUACGUGUCUGGAACUCUGAGGUCCAUCGCAGAAGUCAGUUUCCUCUGUUUCAACUAACUCUGUAGAUAGAUGACAAGAAUAGAGAAUGAAUUUUUUUUGUUUAUGAGUUUUUAUUUUAUAAUUGGUUCAAUGAAAGAAUAAAACAUAUAUGAAUAAAUAAAUAAGUUAUGCAUUGUCCAAUUAUAAAAA